rnacentral:lncRNA from 10 species
CAGAAUUGCUGCUGCUCAGACAGUGAUAUAGUGAGAUGUAGGGUAAGGAGCAGCUUCAAGCAUCAGGGAGUGAGAUAGCCACGUGAGAGUGCUGUCGAACUAAACCCUGAGUGCCUGAAUGGACAUGGUAGGUGGGUAGGUGGGGAGGGUUUCCCCUAAAGGAAAUAGAUCAUUCCUCUUUCAAUCAUCCUGAGUAGGCGUGAGGGUCACUUCUUGGACCAGGAAAGGGCUACCUCAUCUCUUGGGGUCUGGAGGAGGGCUGGCCUGGUCCCUGCCCUGUGGAGGCCUCUCAGGCUCCAAGCACAGACCCUGAGCAAGGAUAGUUUUGGGCAUGUGAGUACCAAAGGGAUGUAGAGUCCUUAGAUGCAAAGUUAUUCGCUGUACUUGAGUCUGUGUUAUUCCCCCAAGCAUUCAGCAAAAAUUUGCUAAACAUUUGAGCUGGGAUUUAGGCGCGUUUAGGGCAGCUAAGUAGCAAGUGGCCUAGAAAAGAAAGCUACUCUCCAAGACAGCCGGAGGUGACCUGCAGGCCUUCAGAACUGUACUGCAGCCAAGCUAGGACUGCUAGAGGAAGUAACAGCAAGCAGGUCGGGUUUGCGAAAUGGUCAAGCAUUCCCCAGUGCUUCCCAGAAUGACCUUGGGUGGAAACUGGAAGAAGAAUGGAUUUUCUGUCAUCUUUGAGGUGGGGAGUUUGGAAGAAUUUGGAUAUUUUAAAAAUGCAAACUUAUUUUGUGCUCCAGCUGGGAAAUGGGUGGU